rnacentral:rRNA from 1 species
AUUGAACGCUGGCGGCAGGCGUAACACAUGCAAGUCGAACGAGUGGCGGACGGGUGAGUAAUGUCUGGGAAUCUGCCUGCUGGAGGGGGAUAACUACUGGAAACGGUAGCUAAUACCGCGUACCAUAAGAUGAGCCCAGAUGGGAUUAGGUAGUUGGUGGGGUAACGGCUCACAAAGGCGACGAUCCCUAGCUGGUCUGAGAGGAGGACCAGCCACACUGGAACUGAGACACGGUCCAGACUCCUACGGGAGGCAGCAGUGGGGAAUAUUGCACAAUGGGCUCAAGCCUGAUGCAGCCAUGCCGCGUGUAUGAAGAAGGCCUUCGGGUUGUAAAGUACUUUCCGCGGGGAGGAGUUACCCGCAGAAGAAGCACAGGCUAACUCCGUGCCAGCAGCAGCGGUAAUAC